AAGAAACACACCGCCUGUGAGCUCCAAAAACAAGCGUGAAGAAGCAGCAGCAGCAAGCAAUGGCUUCAUGUGACUGCAUCGAAAUGGCUUCUGGGUUCAACCCUUUUGCUGACCGACAAUAACCGUGUACCUUGUGUCUGUGUCUGCUACCAGGAGAGAGACUCAGCUCCUGUGGACAGAGACAAACUGAAGACAAAGACCUGGGGUUUGUCGUCAGAGCAACAGGGAGAGGUGGGAGGGAAGCUCUCGCAGGUAUUCAGGGGCGUGAUGAACAGGACCUAUAUAAAAAGGAGACAGAGAGAGACACACAGCAGACACAUCAGCCACCGAGAGCUGAAACAUCCCAGAGGGUUUCAUCACCGACCUCCAUCUGCAGAGCUACAUCUCCCUGCUGCUCCACCCGACCUCCAGACGCUCUCUGACAGUUUACUGAAGGGGCUCCAUCAUGAAGCAAGGUGCAUUGCUCCUCCUGCUGGCAGUUGCUGCCAGCCAGGUUGACCUCAAUCUGUCUGACCCACAAAACAUUGUUACUGGACAUGUGAACAUCAGCACGUGUCCCAUCACCUUCUAUGGACGCACAUACUCAAUGCUGGAUCUGUUGAUCCAAGAUUCAGUUCUUUCAGUUUGUUUCAAAAAUGACGCAGCUGAAAACGCAACAGCCUGUCUUUCCGUGGGUGAUAACGGCAAUGCAACCAAAGUUGGUUGGGGGAUAAAAACUACCUCUACGGACAGGUCAGAUA